UGAAUCCUGAAGUGUGCGUUGGGGUGUUAUAAUUCAACCUACAUUAUGACCUUGGGAGCCUGGAGUUUUCGUAUCGCUUAUGUCGAGCCGUCUUAGAACGGAAGGCAGACGCUGGAACAGGGCACCCCCCUAUUGAAAGAUAGGGCGUGAAUUAUAUCCUCGACGGCAUGUCGGGAUUUUU
rnacentral:other from 1 species